rnacentral:lncRNA from 1 species
UUUCAUUCUCACCACAUCAAUUCAUCAAACUAAUUCUCUCCCUCUCUAAUCUCUCUACUCCUAUUUAUUCUCUCUUCUAAUAAUUUUUCUCUCUUCCAUUUAAUAUUUAGCAAGUAGCAAUUAUAGUUUAGCAAUUCAAGAGUUAUACAAGAGGAGAAAGCAUCCCUCUUUUGGAGGUCGGAGUUCAAGAGACAACUCUUCCGACUCUACUCUCUCGGCUCUACUCUCUUCAGCUCUCCUCUUCCGGCUCGGCCCUCCUCUUCCAGCUCUCUAACUCUCCACUCUACUCUUUUUUCUCUUCGGCUCUACUCAAUUUUCUUUUGCUGGUUAUAGGUUAGUUUUUAU